UACGUAGGGGGCAAGCGUUGUCCGGAUUUAUUGGGCGUAAAGGGCUUGUAGGUGGCCAACUAAGUCAGACGUGAAAUCCCUCGGCUUAACCGGGGAACUGCGUCUGAUACUGGAUGGCUCGAGUUUGGGAGAGGGAUGCGGAAUUCCAGGUGUAGCGGUGAAAUGCGUAGAUAUCUGGAGGAACACCGGUGGCGAAGGCGGCAUCCUGGACCAACACUGACACUGAAAAGCGAAAGCCAGGGGAGCAAACGGG
rnacentral:rRNA from 1 species